rnacentral:rRNA from 1 species
AACGAACGCUGGCGGCAUGCCUAACACAUGCAAGUCGAACGAGACCUUCGGGUCUAGUGGCGCACGGGUGCGUAACGCGUGGGAACCUGCCCUUAGGUUCGGAAUAACUCCCCGAAAGGGGUGCUAAUACCGGAUAAUGUCUUCGGACCAAAGAUUUAUCGCCUUUGGAUGGGCCCGCGUUGGAUUAGCUAGUUGGUAGGGUAAAAGCCUACCAAGGCGACGAUCCAUAGCUGGUAUGAGAGGAUGAUCAGCCACACUGGGACUGAGACACGGCCCAGACUCCUACGGGAGGCAGCAGUGGGUAAUAUUGGACAAUGGGCGAAAGCCUGAUCCAGCAAUGCGGCGUGAGUGAUGAAGGCCUUAGGGUUGUAAAGCUCUUUUACCCGGGAUGAUAAUGACAGUACCGGGAGAAUAAGCUCCGGCUAACUCCGUG